UACGAAGGGGGCUAGCGUUGUUCGGAUUUACUGGGCGUAAAGCGCACGUAGGCGGAUUGUUAAGUCGGGGGUGAAAUCCUGGAGCUCAACUCCAGAACUGCCUUCGAUACUGGCAAUCUCGAGUCCGGAAGAGGUAAGUGGAACUCCUAGUGUAGAGGUGGAAUUCGUAGAUAUUAGGAAGAACACCAGUGGCGAAGGCGGCUCACUGGUCCGGUACUGACGCUGAGGUGCGAAAGCGCGGGGAGCAAACAGG
rnacentral:rRNA from 1 species